UACGGAAGGCAGCAGUGGGGAAUAUUGCACAAUGGGCGAAAGCCUGAUGCAGCUAUGCCGCGUGUAUGAAGAAGGCCUUAGGGUUGUAAAGUACUUUCAUCGGGGAGGAAAAAACAAAACUAAUAAUUUUAUUUCUUGACGUUACCCGAAAAAGAAGCACCGGCUAACUCCGUGCCAGCAGCCGCGGUAAUACGGAGGGUGCUAGCGUUAAUCAGAAUUACUGGGCGUAAAGAGCACGUAGGUGGUUUUUUUAAGUCAGAUGUGAAAUCCCUGGGCUUAACCUGGAACUGCAUUUUGAAACUGAAAUACUAGAGUAUCGUAGAGGGAGGUAGAAUUCUAGGUGUAGCGGUUGAAAUGCGUAGAUAUCUGGAGGAAUACCUGUGGCGAAAGCGGCCUCCUAAACGAAUACUGACACUGAGGUGCGAAAGCGUGGGGAGCAAACAGGGAUUAGAUACC
rnacentral:rRNA from 1 species